rnacentral:rRNA from 1 species
GGUAUGAAUGGCUAAACGAGAAAUAGACUUUUUUUACUAUAAAAAUUGAACUUAAUUUUUCAGUGAAAAAGCUGAAAUUAUUUAGAAAGACGAGAAGACCCUAUAGAGUUUUAUGUUUUUAGUUUAUAACUUAUAAUCGAUUUUUAUUAACUUAUAAUUUUAAAAAUAUUUUGUUGGGGCGACAUUAAGAUAAAAAAAACUCUUUAUUUUUUAAAUUUUUAUGAAAAUUUAUUUGACCCUCUAUUAGAGAUCAAAAGAAAAAAUUACCUUAGGGAUAACAGCGUAAUCUUUUUUGAGAGUUCUAAUCGACAAAAAGGUUUGCGACCU